rnacentral:tRNA from 1 species
GGGGACGUAGCUCAGUUGGGAGAGCGGCUGGUUCGCAAUCAGCAGGUCGAGGGUUCGAAUCCCUUCGUCUCCA